AUUGAACGCUGGCGGCAUGCUUUACACAUGCAAGUCGAACGGUAACAGGCCGCAAGGUGCUGGCGAGUGGCGAACGGGUGAGUAAUGCAUCGGAACGUGCCCAGUCGUGGGGGAUAACGCAGCGAAAGCUGCGCUAAUACCGCAUACGAUCUAUGGAUGAAAGCGGGGGACCGUAAGGCCUCGCGCGAUUGGAGCGGCCGAUGUCAGAUUAGGUAGUUGGUGGGGUAAAGGCUCACCAAGCCAACGAUCUGUAGCUGGUCUGAGAGGACGACCAGCCACACUGGGACUGAGACACGGCGCAGACUCCGACGGGAGGGAGCAGUGGGGAAUUCUGGACAAUGGGCGCAAGCCUGAUCCAGCAAUGCCGCGUGCAGGAAGAAGGCCUUCGGGUUGUAAACUGCUUUUGUACGGAACGAAACGGUCCUGGUUAAUACCUGGGGCUAAUGACGGUACCGUAAGAAUAAGCACCGGCUAACUACGUGCCAGCAGCCGCCGCAGUAA
rnacentral:rRNA from 1 species